UUGCUUUUGGCAACACAUAUGCUAAACUUGGCAUGCCAUAGAGAAGAGAUGAGCAUAGCCCUGUGUAAGGAUGACAUGUAAAUUCAUGUAGUGUUCCUUAUUUAA